AGUGAUGGUCAUCCUCCAGAUUCACGGCUCCCCUACCAGCUCGCCUCCGCUCCAGAAACACGUUCUAUCGUCCUCCAGCGUCUCAGCUCCUCCAGCAGCUCUCCUCAGACAGAGUCCUGGUCUGGAACAAACAGCGGAAGUCUUGCUUCAACAUGUGGCAGGCCCUCCACCAGCUCCUCCACCAGCUCAGGGCCUUCAGCACGGCACCUCCAUCAGCUCCUUCGGCACGGCUCCUCCAUCAGCGCCUUCAGCCAUGGAUUCCUGUGUUUCAGAUGAGCUUGGUGAUGGUUACCCCCUGGUCCGGUGCUGCAGGCCCCUGGUCUCCAGCCUCAGUCUCUGGUCCAUCCUGGCACCACAAGCCUCCGGUCCCCAGCCUCUCAGCCUCGCCUUUCAGCUACAGCAGCAGGUUUAUAUCAGCAUUUGCCCAACAAUAAACUUAAUUGACUCAUCCGAAACCGAGUUAGACAAUUAAUUGAACUAUUAUUUUAUAACUCAAGGCUAGAAAAGACUAGCAGAGGACUUGAGAAGACUCUACUCACCCAGAGCACUGACCUGUUCUGGAGGACUUCUGACAGGAGGUGGCGGUGUGGCUCUGGGUGAGGAGGUGGAGGUCUGGCUCUGGGUGAGGAGGUGGAGGGCUUGCUCUGGGUGAGGAGGCAGACACCUUGGGACAAACUACACGUUACCUUUUUAACCUUGUACAGUUCUAGAGUAUAAUCUACUGUAACAUGUGGGAAUGACGGCCAUUAUUUUAGCUUUGAUAUUAUCUAGUUGGUAACUGCACCAAAGUCGUUGUUUAACUUCAUAACAAAGUAACAAAGAACACUAAGCAGUAUCGAUAUUAAAUCAAAUAUACUCAGCCAUAUUCUGGUGCUGGGUUCCGUUGAAGAAAUGUCAAAUUAUCUUCCACCUUGAAAUGAUUUUCAGCCUUCCUUGAUGUCAAAAAUGGGCCCGCAAGUAGAACGCCGUUUUGUACGCAGUGAGAGUCCCAUCACGUCAUCGUGGUUAAAAGUACGGCGCAACCAUCGGAAAUUAUCAACAUAUUGUACGACGUACGUGUCAGUAUGUAUUUAAUAUCAAACUUUAGUCGUUUAAAAUAGGGGCAACAAUUCCCAAUGGAAACCGACUGAAAAAUUGUUUCCGUUGGCAACGGCUCGAGGUUACGCAAAUACAAUCCAGAACGUUCCGCCAGAUUCCCUCAGGGGACUCCCGUCCAACUAACUGCCAGGUGGUUUCUUAUUGUUGUCAAGACUACAACAUUCUAUGCUAACCAUUGGGACUACGGUAAAUCAAGUGAUCGCACUCAGAAGCUUCCACGGCGGGAAGCACAAACCGUCCGACUGGAAUCCGAACAUUCCAGCCGGAACCAACCAAAGAAAAAACAGAACCAGCGCCUCACCUUGAGCUGAACGGAGGAAGAUCCUGAAGUCCAGCGAUGGUCUUCAUUAAAAUACAGCCAACAGACUUACCUUGAGGAGAUCUGUUUGUUGCUGUUGGUCAUUAAUACUAUCCAGUGUACCUUUACAUUAUUAUGCACCCAGUGUGUACAAGUUAUAUCACUCAAAACCAUACGAAGAACCAAACUACCAUGUACGUCCCACAACAACUUUAAACCUAAAAUCCUGGAAUCAUUCAAUACAAAACUGUGUCUAUAUUUUACAAUUAUCUAGAUUAUUCAGGGUACAAACCAUGCAGACCAAAUCUAAACGUUGAGCUCACAGAGAGCCAAUCAUAGCCCUGCAACGUCACCCUGACCGCCUCAUCACCAACAGCAAAUCAUGCCAGCCAGCCAACACAUGUACAGCUCCAGUGAGAAGUGGGCAUCUGAGUGAAAGGACUGCCCAUAAUAAAAAGAAGCCAUAUUCCUGAACUAUCCAACCAUCUUCAUGGUUUAAAGAUUUACAGACUGCUCCCUCGUUACUUAUAAAACUCUACAUCUCCAUCACUAGAGUGUUGCAUACUACUCAUGGGGGUGUGGUCUGAGUGAGCAGAGAUGCAUGCUGGGAUACAGUGCCGUCUGAAGUCUUCAGGUCCAUAGACACGCCCCUCAGGAGACACCAAGUGUUUGAGAAUCUGUCGCGACAUCAGUUACAUGAGCUGGAAUAUCCUUCAAGAUGGCGCCAGGAUUCUCAGAGGAGAAAGGCCAAGAGGAAGAUGUGUGGGUUCUUCCUCUCAGCCAGUCGAACACAACAACGGUCUUCAUCAGAGUACCAUGGAACACUUUGAAACAUUCUCCUCUUUACACCUUGAAGCCCCAGUAAAGGUUUCCUUACCUCCUCAGCUGAAGAGCACAACUUCAGCUCGAAGAGCGCACUAGCUGGAGUUCCCGGAUUGGUUCUGAUUUAAGGGAACCAAUCGUUCAACUAGUCCUGUCCGAAACAAAUACAGUUCAGCCUGAGAAGACGUGCAACUGAGAGCAAGACAAGAUCCACAGGGCUCUCCAUCAAUCCAGCCAGGUGGGAAGAGCCGUCUCCUUACAGGUCUGAAGGUCAUCUUGAAUAUCCUUUUAGGUCCCUUUCCAACGUCAGACUCUCCUUGUGGAAUUCCUUUUGGUGUCCAUCCUCCAAUGAUCCUGAUUGGUGUAGUCCUAGUUUGACAACUCUGCGUCGGUCGUGAACCUCUCGCACAGAACCUCUUCCUGAAAACAUAUUUUUCUUUGUGAUCUGAACACACCGCUUGCAUCCUUUUACACUUGAGUUGGGUACUCUCCUUCCUGCCCAGUGUGUUGGAUCUCGCUCCGGAGCGUCGCUCAGGGCUCUUCAUGUCCACUGGAGGCCCUUAAGUAAACGUGUGGCCGUCCAUCAGGUAUGAUUUAGUUGACCAUUCCAAUAUCCCAAGCCAAUCACACAGACCCCCGUAUGAACAUUAUCACUGUCAAAGCAAGCCGGACACACACACACACACACACACACACACACACACACACACACACACACACACACACACACACACACACACACACACACACACACACACAGAACCCAGGACAGGCACGUAGAACCCCAUGCCAGGUGUGAGUGGGAGACACACACACAGUAGAACCCUAGAGAUGCUCAAAAAUCUUCCAUCUCAUGUCAAACCCAAACACACACACCACUGAGCCAUAAAAGGCCAAACAAUCAUGCAGGGUAAAAACCUCAUAGCAAAUACCAUUCCAUCAUCCACCCCCAGCUCUCCUGCCAGGGCACCCAGAACAGAACAACCAAUGUCUCCAGAGACGCAAGUUAUGUACAGCAUUCUUCAGUGGCGUCCCACAUUGGUGAUGGAUUAUGCUUGGCGUGUCCAAAAUGUGUCCCAGGUUGAUUCAACAUCUCUGAAGUCAUGUCUUUGUAGUCCAGUGGUUUCCUGAAUGAGGGGCCUUCACAGAUGCAAACGGUGCAGCUUUAGUCAGCCUGAGGACAGGAAGGAGGUCAUCUGUUCAGAAGACCACCCAGUGGAGGGGGGGGGCUCUUGAGGAGCAGGAUCCAUAUGGGGAUGGCCCCAAAUAAGACCUUCUUGGAAAUGAAACCGUUCCUGAGGAGUCACGAUGCCUGGAGGGGACUGUUGAAUGUGUUCCAUGAUUCUCUGUGUCAGACUGAAGUUGUGUUUUAGUCGUUGAGAUGAGGAGCCCCUCAUCUCCCCCUGGUGUUUCUCCUUCUGAAUCCCUGUCUCCAUCUUUAAGAACAUUCCAGUCCAUGUAACUGACGUCACGACAGUUUCUCAAACACUCGGUUUCCCCUGAGGGGGUCGUGUCUACAGACCUGUAGACUCGAGACAGCUCUGUAUCCCAGUAUGCACCUCUGCUCACUCAGACCACACCCUCACAGUAGAGCAACACUCAUGUAAUGAAGAUGCAGAGCUCAGGAGAGUAGAAUGAAAGAAGACUAAAAAUAUCAGAACCAAACCCAUUACUCCAUCUUACAACAAUAACUUGGAGCCUGUAACCAUUUUAACAAAUCAUUAAAACCAACAUAAACCAAACACCUAAGUAACCCAUGAACCAAUAAAACAUCCUUAAUACUCAGAUCAACCUUCAGGUAACAGGUUAACCCACCAGGAAGCCAAAAUACAGCAAUGUGCCCAAGAGUAAUGAGAAAUUAAUGACUUACAGUUUGCAGUUCAUCUUCAUGGUUAAGUUGGGAUACUCACAGAACUGCAGUUAAAUAUCCAAGAUAGACCUUUGAAG
rnacentral:lncRNA from 1 species